rnacentral:lncRNA from 10 species
AGAGGAAGGGCGGUGUCCAGGCAAUAGGCAUAGGAAAUGAGUAGGCAGCAGGCUGAAGAGGGUGAAAAAAAACAGGGCAAGAGCAACCCCUCCACUGAAAUGCACUGGGAAGGGGGACUUAGAUACUAACACAAGUUCAAUUCAAGAAGCAUUUAUUGAACCGUCCUCAUGAGCCAGGUCAGGGUGUUCAGCACUGAGCGUGUCAAGACGAAGACACAUAGCCUCUAAGUGUCCACCAUCUACAAUAGCUAAUGUUUAAUUGUCCUUAAAAGUUGAAGAAUGUUGACUGGAUUGUCUGCAAAUCAGUCAUGUGAGUAGUGUUAAUCUAAUGAAGAAGAAUCUUAAAAGACAAAUUCUCCAAAUGCUGCUGCUCCUGCAUCCUGCUGCUCUACCUGCUGUGGGGAGGAGGCAUUGGGAAUUAGUGUUAAACAAGACACAAAAUGUGUGCUCUCAGGAAGAUCAUAUGCCAGUGCAGAGAGAUGAUAAACACGAAAUCCAAUAAAUACACAGUUUGUGCCAUGAAGAAAAUAAAACAAGCU